rnacentral:rRNA from 1 species
AUUGAACGCUGGCGGCAGGCUUAACACAUGCAAGUCGAGCGGGGAAGGGUAGCUUGCUACCUAACCUAGCGGCGGACGGGUGAGUAAUGCUUAGGAAUCUGCCAUUUAGUGGGGGACAACAUUCCGAAAGGAAUGCUAAUACCGCAUACGUCCUACGGGAGAAAGCAGGGGAUCUUCGGACCUUGCGCUAAAUGAUGAGCCUAAGUCGGAUUAGCUAGUUGGUGGGGUAAAGGCCUACCAAGGCGACGAUCUGUAGCGGGUCUGAGAGGAUGAUCCGCCAACCUGGGACUGAGACACGGCCCAGACUCCUACGGGAGGCAGCAGUGGGGAAUAUUGGACAAUGGGCGGAAGCCUGAUCCAGCCAUGCCGCGUGUGUGAAGAAGGCCUUAUGGUUGUAAAGCACUUUAAGCGAGGAGGAGGCUACUAGUAUUAAUACUAUUGGAUAGUGGACGUUACUCGCAGAAUAAGCACCGGCUAACUCUGUGCCAGCCGCCGCAGUAA